GAGAAAGGGAAAAGUUGCAUGACUGUGUCAAACUAGCCAGUUUUUGGGCUAUUCGGAAACUUUUCCUAUCAUCUUUUUCCUUUAAACAUCAAAGGAAGUUGUGGGGAAGCUGUGAAAGGAAAGGGCUUUCAGAUGAAUGCUCAAGGACACUAAGAACUUAAGGCAGACAAGCGUCUGCAGAGUUUCGUUUAGAAACUCUGCGACGGCAUGAAAAUCCGUCAUGUCUACUGUCUUCUCCGGCUGCUGGUUUUGGAAAUGUAAUUUAUUGCAGUGUGUGCAAUAUGAAUCAAGCCAAGAUGUGUCAUUAUUCAACUUAGUAGUUUCUAAAUGCCAGUACUGUCUUCAGUUUCUCUUUGAAAUGUACCCAGAGCUAAAAUCCCUAGAAUAGAGAUCAACUAAAACUUCACUGGACAAACGAAACCGACUGAC
ensembl:lncRNA